GGAGUUGUGGCUUAGUGGUAGAGCACUUGCCUAGUAUGUAUGAGGCACUGGGUUUGAUUCUCAGCACCA
rnacentral:tRNA from 1 species